ACGGCAGCCGCCGGGCACGGCGUUGGGAGGCUGCGGCUGCGGGCAGCGCCGCGUGCUUCGGGCCUUCGGGCGGUCACCAACACUGCUCGCAUCGCUUCGGGCUUCUUUGCCCCAGGCCGAACAGAGCCGGGUCGCUCAGCCUUCCCUCGCCGGGAGAUGCUCUGUGUAUCUUUGCGUCCCUCCGCCGGGCUCCUUCCGGGAUGCCGCGAACAUUCUUGAGAGGAUGUCACAGCCUGCUGAGGAGCCCCGGAGCUGAUCAGCGCCUCUUUGGCCCACCAGACACGCCUGGAGAAACCUCAGCACGUGCCAGCACUCAGACUGCUCCCUCACUUAGUUCCCUCGCCAUGCUUGCAGCUGGGCGCUACACCAGGUGCUCCUCAGUUCCCAGAGCUGUUGCACCUACUGCGUGUCAAACAUCAGCAUCAGAGGAAUGGCAAAGUUGUAGAAAGCGGUAUUACUGCUACCUAUCGCUACCUCUGCAGUUUCUAAUAGUGGAGUGGCAUUACAAAGCAGAAAGUUUCUUGUGCUGAGCAAAUGCGUACGCAAAUCAUGGUGCACUGCUAAAGAGAAGUUUCAGAGCAAAAAUCUGAGGAACCCAUCUUUUAAAUCUUAUUUUAUAUGAAUGAGACAGACUGAGAAGCCUUUCUUCCAUCCAAACUUCACAGCACUCAAAUACCUCCUGGUCCAAGCUGGUACACACUAAGGAUUUUACCUUAUCCUCAAUUACUCCAACUUGUUAAAACCAACUACAGCAAGCAAAACUUACGCUGUACUCCAUGGAGAGUCCCCAGGGAUAACACAAAAUGAAGCCUGUUUGGUGAUAUAUAUUUACUAAAUUCGUGGAAGACCAACAAGUCUGGCUUCUAGAAAUCCAGAGAUGCAGAAUUCCAGAGCCAGGAACAGAAGAUAAGAUCCUGGAAACAGCAGUGGAUAUGCUAACAAAGUGCUGCCACAACACGUGUUUGUUGGGCAAUGAGUUUAAAGCACUUCAACAUCAGUGACGUUCCCCAUACAGUCAUCUACACAGAGCAUUCUGUUGUUGGUUUUGGACUAUCUGACUAUGCAUAUUAGGCAACAGUUCCAUUCUAGGGCUCAGUUACGGCCACAUUAACAGCUGAGUCACAUCUACUUACCUUGAAACAAGAAUAAAUACGGAUAAAACACAAUGUGACACUUAAUGCUGACCAAAUACACAUUUAGUGUUCGCUAUCCUAAAAGGAUAAGACUUGUACCCAUCCUUAUUAGUGAACAAAUUAAGCAGCAGGUAUGAUUAUUACUAUGUCAAAAGAAGCAAUGCUCUACAGCACAAGGCAGGGCUGGGUUAACCCCAAACUGGUUCUCCCCAUCCGUAUCACCAGCCCAACAUCCAGCUUCUGCUCCGCUACUACAGGGCAUUGCCUGCAAUCCCAACAGUGAAAUAAAAAGACCAGGGGGCCACAAUAGCCAGCAGGUGGUUGGAUCUGCCUCCCUCGUUUGACCGCUUGCCCAGCAUUUACAUCACAACAGCAGCAUGUUUUCCUGACCUCAGGUUUGGUCUGAGCAAACAACAGGCUGGGGAGAGCAGGCAGCAAUGCAAGAGGACGGCAGGACCCCACUCACAGCCCCUCUGGAGCACCACGAUUCCAUAGGACUGCAGUUAUACUCAGAUUAUCUUUGCCUGUUCAGUAGUGCAGGCCUUUCAUUGCUGGUUGAGGUUCUGAAUAGGAUGCCCUAUUAAUUCAAAUCCUUCUGUACCUCCUUUCUUGCCUUUCCUCUUCCCUUUGAGUUCACACAGUCAUUCAUGAUACCCUACGAUUCUAAGAUGGAUUUGUGAUAGAAGCCCUUUGCAGAAAUGCAUGUAUUAUCCAAGCAGCACCUCGCUUUGCUUCAAUUCAUUUCCUACUCCUAGGUGUAAGUCGCACUCAGGCUUCCUUUGCAGUCAGAGAUGAAGAGAAAGACAAGUAUCCACAGAAGGCAGAGGAAGGCUGGAAUGAGCUGAAGAUGAGAUCAAGGGGAAAAGGCUUUGUUGGCAUUUGUGAAAACUAUUAGUUGCUGAGCCACUGCCUUCAUUGUAGAUGAAUAAAAAUCCUCUUCAAGUAUUCACCCAAGGUAGUAAAUAUCAUACUAGAAACCUUUUUUUUUCCCAACCAACCUCACAGCAUUAAAAGUGAUUAAUUUCUAUGACAAUAACGAGUCCUUUCCCUGCACUGACUUCCCCACACACCAGACCUUACCUUCAGUAAGGCAGAAAUGCAUCGUCUGAAACUUCAUUUUGCUUUGUUUUUUAAAGCUCACAGACAUGCUACUGAGCACAAAUAGAAUACAAACACUCCAGUCAUUUCUCUUCCCCUUUGUAUAAUCAUUUAUCCUGAACUUCGGAGUGCAUUAGGUUCAGGCACAGUAAAACAAGCCCAGCAUACACAGGAGCUCGGUUUGCUUGGUCACUGUGAGUGAGGCCACGCAUUGGAAUGCAGUUCCACAUAGCUGCACAUGCUAAUUCAGCCUUCCUGUAUUUCAGAACCUGAUUCUGCCCAGGUGAGGACCCACCUUCCUUUACAAACAUCCACACUUGCUAUACUUUCCAGUUAAGACAUCCCACAGCUGCCAACAGGCACUUCUUGCAUCUAUUUUCACUCAAAUUAACUGUCAGCUCUGAACACCUACUUGACUCCUAAUGCUGCCUUGGAGCAGACAGCAGCCACAGCACUCACACACACAGCAUUCCAAAACACAACUCUUACUGGUUUUGCCCAUACUGCUGUACUUCCCAGAGCUCUUAGCUAGCAGAAGUUGAAGCAUUAAUAAACACAAAUAUUCAUUUCCUAUGGGUUUCCAUUCAUAAGGCCAUCUGAGAUAGGAAAGCAAAUAGUUAAGGAACAAUGGCAGAAACAGAACGUUUUUGAGACGACUGCAAAAAGAGCAGAAAUGAUGUAAGAAAACAAACAAGGCUCCAUCAUCUGUGGUUUUCAAGAAGGGAGCCAUUCAUGAAGUAUGGAGAAAAGAGAAAAACGUAUUUUAUUCCCCUCCUCGGGGGGCUCUUAAAUAUACACCGUAUGUUGCAAGCUUUUUGUGGGAACUUUCAAAGAGAGAAAUGCAGCACAUGAGCAGCAACAACACUCCAAGGCUCUGAACGUUCUCCCAGCUCAUGUCCCACCAUCCAUUCCAUGUAAAGAUCUGUGCUUUGCACUUCACUCAGAGGGCACACAGCAUGGUGAGGCACUUUGUACAGCUGCUACCUGAAAGAUCUGACCCACAACAAACGAUGCUACAAAAGAAAGCUCAAUUAUCAAAACUUUAUUUCAGCAUUGGAUGCUCAACAGUGUGCUCUGCAUAUCUGCCUAAGCAGCCAAUUUGCUGCUAGGUAAGCAAAGAAUUUCUCAUCCUCUGAUCCUGUUUGUACAGUGCUGAACUCUAGCACACAAGAGGGUGAACUGUGAAUACUGUGAAACUCAAUUGAUUAAAUCACUGACUGCUUUUAGUAAUAGCAUUUCUGUUAAGAGGAAGCACUUCCAUUUACUCAGCUGUUUAUCUAGCUUAAGCUGAAGUGGGAAUACACAUACUGCAUGGAGAAAAACAUAUAUGGCCUAGCCAGCCUGCUUCUUUUUGGAGAGAAGUCUCUUUAUGUUUAGCAGAUGAUAAAUCCUUUUGGAAUACUCAAUAUUUAAUAUCUGCUACUUAGUCCUAGGCUUUUGUCAUAUUUAAAAGGAAAGGAAAAUAACAUGUCACUUUCCAAGGCCUAGAAUAGUAGUCCUGUGCUCGGUAUAGAUAGUGAUUAAUAACAAGAAAUUCUUCUACUCAGAUCUUUUUCCAUUUCUUCCAGUAUUGUUUUUAUCAGUCUGAGAAUCCUGGAGAGCUUUCGCUUGGCCUGCUAUUGGCAGAGCAUGCUCCUCACCUGCCCCAGCAGAGUUGUGUGCAUGGGAAGGACAGAUUUCAGCCACUCGGCCUGCAGACUCCUGGAGGCAUCUGAUACAAUUACACUUGUUCAUGUUGUCUCUAAAAUUCAAGAUUCAGCAAUUAAACUGGGAUCUCUCACAUUGUAAACGAAGCCCAGGAUGAGAUUGCUGAUAAAUGCAAAACACCAGGAAAAAAGAUAUCAGACGCCUUACAUCCCACCACAGACCUCUGAGCAGCCCCAGCAUCUUCUCCAGUUGUGUUUCCAGUCCAAAGCCAUGCAGUUUCCUCAUGCCAAUCAGAUAGUUUUGCAUUAACACACUGAUGAAGAUUUGAGUCUGGAUGGUCGAGAAUUACCUGCAACUUACUUAAUAUUGCUGCCACUUCCACCACAAAUGCCAGACAGAAAGAACACUGCAGGAAAAAACGAGAAGUUACAGGUGUGCAUGAGUCAACAGCGGUUAUUUUUUCAGUCUGACAGCAGCACUGCACUUUGUGGGGAACAAAGACAAACAUAAGCUAGAUCUCAUUGGAGCAGAGCAGCCAGCUUUGAAUGCUGUGCCCUAAGUGUGCCUCAGACAGGCUACAGCUAGAAAGCCAGUCAGAGCAGCCACCUGUUCAGAAAACAACAUGCAGGGAGAGAACAGAGAAACAGAGGUGGCUGGCCUGACGGAGACCACAAAAUCUGUAAGUGCUUUCAGCUAAGUAUUAACAAUACCAAAAGGAAAUACCUUAUUCCCAUUCAUUGCCCGUAUGAAAAGAAAUGGAAGAUUCAGGUUAGACGAUAUGAUGAGCAAGGACAGCAAGGUAAUGGAAGAAAUUAUUGGGGAGCAGAAAUGCCAUUAUCAGGUACCUCAAGAGCAGCCCCCACAAACACCUGCUCAGAAGAACACUGUGGCUGACCCUGCCCUGAAUGGAAUUAGAGAACAGCUCACUGUCCAUACUUGCCAGUCAAGGUCUGAUUUUUUUCCCUGUUCCAUCACUAUUUGUUUGUUUUACUAUCAUGUCUAUCAAGUCUAACCUCUUGACUUUUAUGCCAGGUCCUGGGGCAGAAAAAACACGUGAGAGAAAUUCCACAAGAGGCACAAAAAUGUAAUACAAGAGAUAACAGCAAAAUAGACAGGUAAGAAGAUCCAAGGAAACAGCAAGAGAGCACUGAGGGCCCCACCUGCAUGCAAGCAGAUAACCAAGGACUCCUGCAAUUGUUACAGUAAAGUAAGGGUUUCUUAGAAGAGGCUGUUCAUGUGAUAUUCUUCUUCAUGUGAAAAUAACAACCUUAAAUGCAACAAGCAGACACAGAGGCUGGCACACUGCAAUCUGGGACAAGAAAGGGCUGCAAUAUCAAACCACUACCCUGCACAACACCACUCUGAAUGGAGUAAAUACCUCACAUUAGGGAAAACAGUAUUGGAAGGAGUGAUUAAUUAGUGAAACGGUGCAGAAGUUUUACACGGGCAGAUGGCCAAGGAACUCAUCUCUAAAAAUCUCACAUAGAAAUAUGGAAGUCUAGACAACCCUAGUAAGGAUUAGAGAGAAUCUUAUUUCAGACGAUGCCUGAUUUGAAUUUGCACGAUAAGCAAAUAAGGCUGUUUCAUCUGCUGUGCCUGAGACAGUGAUGAAGGAGGACUGGCAGAGGAAGAUGAGAAUCUCCGCUUUAAUUGCGUGAUGCAUGAGCUGAUGCUUCAUUUACACAGACAACAUGAGAUUUUAACUUCUGACAGAAAACAGAGCCAGGUAACACCAGAACUGCUGGUAAGACCAUUGGAUUCGUGCUCAUGCAAAAAUGAGGGACACGAGAUGAAUGACUGGCCUUCCACCACCUACAGAAAACCCAAAGAGGGACAAACACGACGUGGUCAAGAAAGAUGUAGGAAGGUGCAGAAAAAAAACCUGGUAGCAACCAGUCCCAAAACCAUUGGAAAACAGGUCUAAGAACAUGGUUACCUGUGGCAGAAGCAAGAUGACCAAGGAAACUUCUGCUUCUUGGCUCUCAUACUGGGGCGUAAACUUCUUUUAUUUUUUUUUCUUGGCUUUGGACAUUACUGUACAUUGCAGACUGACAGGUGUAGAUUCAAGAAAAGCAUAAGCAAAACCCUUCCUGCUCUGAGAUAAAGCACAUUUUUUUGAUUUGAACAUCACUACAGUCAAGCUGUGAAUCACAACCUCAAAUGAUUCAUCAGAAAUAUCAUCUGCAAAUGGCUAUUACAAGAUCAUCUGUCUCAAGACGGAAUGGAUGUCCAAACGGAUUCACCAAAUUUAGCAAUACAUUACAUGUGAAUGCCUAACAUUCAGCAGGCUUGCCCACAGGAAACACACUUCCUUGUAUUUCACUGGAUUUUGUUCACCUCCAAUUUUAUGAGGGGCCGAGGCACCACAGAAGCAUCAAGUAGAAAAUGGGGUGUAUGCCAGUAAGUUUUAAAAUGCAAUACAUCCUUCUGGAGGGCUGAGGACAAGACAAUCAUAUCAGCAUUUAUAUAUUCCUGCACAAUUACAGCAAAAUCUUUUGUUCAGAUUGCAGAACUCAGCUGUGUCAAUUGAAUCACUCUGAUUGAACUAAUUGAAUUUCAAUUGCUCAAGUCUGGUUUUGAACAGUUUUGUAUGACAUUCAAAAGACUGAAGACUUCAUUUAUAAAUGGAAGCGUGUGUGGGGAGGGACAAGGAAUGAUUUGGCUGUUACCCAAAAACUAACAAAUGUGUAAUAUAUUUCACUGGAGAAGCAUACUGAGGUUUAUCUUUCUGUGAAGGCCUCCAUUUCAGUGCUGCAUGAAGUGUUCCUGGGUUAGGGUACCUUCCCAUGGGGAAGGAGGUAGGGACUCUCACCCCAGCAGCAACUGAAGUAAAACUGCAUGUUACCUGCCCAAGUCCUGCCUCACCCAUGUAGCUACCACUGUUUUAGCAGACUUGAAACAGUUGAAUUACAUCUACAGAUGACACAGAGUGCAUACUGCUUGUAACACUCCUGCUUUUGCUGAUCACAAACUCCACCUGCACCUAGAAGGGAAAAUGCCAUAGCGUGACCAGCAGAAAUUCUCAAACAUUUCCAGAGAAACAUAUGUUUAAUUAGGCUUUAUUUAAAUGCCAGGCUAGGUCUCACUGCUGAUGUCUACCAGCAGCUUCUGUGCAAAUUUGUUCAUUGUUCUUUAUCCUCACUGCAGAAAUGGAACUGUAAGUGGCUCACAAGCUAAAAUCAAAACGUUCACAAAGCCAAUGGCAACAAUUCCAUCAACAAUACGAGCCAGGCCACCACACCUGGGACCUGUUCAGCCUCCUCCUCUGCACCAAUUUAUUCUAUUUAUUCCAGUAAAAUACCUCCCCUUUAAAGGCAUUUGUGGUGGAGAUCCCUAAGAAUCCUGCCCUCUAAGUUUCUAAAAAUGCCCUUCUACUUUAUCUUUAAAAUUGACUUCCAGGCUAAAGAGUUUACUUCCUUCCCUUUCACUUUUCACAACAAAGACAACAUCCACAUAUUCUAGCACAAGUCAUCAAUUUGUUAAAUUUUCAUUUUCUUCCUGAAUGUCUUAAGAGCUGCAUCUAUUUUUAUAACUGGGCAUGAAAAUGGCAGAAGACACACGAUAUAUGCAAAGACCAGCCUGCACGUCCAAGCAGCACCAGGCACUUUCAGAUGGAUAGCAAAUUUGUUGUCCGUUCAGAUUUGUUAAGUAUACACACACACACACAGGUUUCCCACCUGAUGUGCAGAUCACCUCAUCUCAAUUUACUCAUCUUUAAAACAGACUCAGUUCUUCCUCCUUCUUUGUACAUCUCACAGGUAUUACUCAGUUAUCAAUCCAUUGGUCAGAUUUCUCUCUCCCUCAAUGACAUUUUGAACCACUAAAAGAAUUGCAGAACCCUGUCUCAGGGAGCUCGGUAAAACAAGAGUUUCGUAUCCCAUUAUCACCUGUGAUUUACCCUGGAGUUUAACUGUUGAAUUUUUUGUUUAACUGGGCAAAAAAAGCAGUGGGCACACAUCACACUACUCUACACACUAGCCAAAAAAUACCCAAACAAAAAACCCCAAUUGAAACACUAAAUGACACUCAGAACCUGCUCUAACUUUUGGUCAUCCCCAAGGUGGCAAUGUAAGUGGAUACGAUUACCUUUGUAGGCCCCUUCCAAUCGAACUACUGUCUUUGCUAACCUCCCUUUGGAGACUGUGAAUACCUAAUUGCUGAGGAGAGGGAAAAAAAAGCCAGCUCUGAGGUGAACACUUUCUUUUAUAACAUGUAAAAUAGUAUUUCUCAUUUUAAAACUAGAACUAUUUUUACUUGAUAGGCUUUAAACUGAGAUUAUUUUAAUUUUUACAACAUAAUCAGUUCUCACCCUGCUUACCAUAUUGGAAAAAGGCUCAAAGAUGCCAUGGGAAAAGGACUGAACUAUCAUUUUCAGGCUUGAGGUUUUUGUUAUUAAAACCAAAAAACCACCACAACCUUCAAGCAAACUGAGAAUCUUAAUAUUUAAUGGCAUUUUCAAAAAUGUCAUGUGACUGUCAUUCCAUAAACUAAUAGCCACCUAUGACAAAGACAAUAUGCAAUACAACUUUCAUAAAAGGUGACUUUAUUAGGGCUGAGCCUCAGUGUACACAUAUAUACAUGCUGGAAACAUAAGCCACAGAACUACACUACUUACUGUCACUCAGGUUGCAGUCACCAGGUGCUUGGGAUGAGCAGAGUCGCUUGCUGCACAAGGAGAAACUCUACAGUGUUAUUUUAGGACUCAUCUUGUGCCCGAAUUUAAGCCUGUGGAACUCGUACCAUCAGUCAACAGGGACAACAAUGAGCAAUGAUUACAGAAUGUUUUCAUAAAUUAGCUAACAAUCUUCUGAUACCUUUGGAUGCAGGAAAUUGUGAUCUCCUCCUUAAUCUCUUUCUUGAAUCGAGCCACAAACACUGUUUGGCAUUCUUCAGCAACAAUCUGAGGGAGGCACGUUAUUAAGAACAGGAGAUGGAAAUGGCAGAAAUGAAAUCAAAGGUAAAUAAAAGGUUGAAAAAGAGCAAGAUCUGGAAACUCUUUGAAGAGGAUAAGGAAGACUGAAAGAAAUUAGGAACACUGCAUAUGUAUUUACAGUUUACACUUAGAACAUCUAGGAAGGAAGCUAAGCCUUCUCUCAAAUAGGACAAAAUUAUUAUUUCUACUGCACAGGUGAAAUGCAAUGAGCUGCUAAUGCAGAUGUUGGGGCUAGGCAGUUAAACAGAUUGCUCUGACAGUAAGUAUCAGAGUCCCUGAAUUCUAGGAAAUUCUGCUGUCUUUGAUGUGAGACUGAUGUAAGACUUUUGGCAAUCCACUUCAAUUUUAAAUGCAAAUUACAUUUGUUGAGUGCUAGAGAAGUGAGUUUUGAUGAUGCACAUUAGUGACAGAAAAUAACAUUUUGUGGUUAGUAUUUCAAAAUUCCCCUCACUCUUCAGCAAAAGCUUUUCCUCGCUAGGUCAAGCCAUUUACAUGAGAAAGAAGCCUGGGUCCAGCAGAACGUUUCUUCCCACUCUUCUGUCCCAGUGCUUCAAGAGCUCCUUCCUCCAAAUUCCAUGCUGGAUCAACUCUGAAAUGUGUCACUUGGCUUAAAUGGAAACAAACACUGAACCACAAGUCAGAUGUUUCAGAUUACAGAACGUGAUUAAAAAAAUACAGAAUGACAGAAAGCUCUAUCAGAACAAAAAGUUUAAAACCUUAUUUAAUAGAAUACUGAAGCAAAUGGAUUUCUUACAAACCCUUUGUGCUGAUAAUGUUAAAAUUGAAGGUGCUCAAGUCCUUGGUUUUCCUUGCCUGAAUUUGACAGGUUUUACUCAUUAUCAGAUUAUUUAAAUCCCUCUGUAUCACUACUCUUACUAUUCCUCACAGAAAACACAUAACAAAACCUUGCCACUCCCAAUUCCAAAGUUUUUCCUCAGCCUGAACACUUCAGGAAAUCCUGUGAAGGUUUUAUAUCAAUUUGAAACCUAACAGAAACUGCUCCAAUCGCAUACAGCAGCCUGGAGUUGGCACUGCUGCUGCCAUCGUUAUCACUUACACUCUGACCAGCAGAGUACAGGCCAUGACAGGCUUUUUUAGCACUGGCAGAAAUUACUACAGCAGCUGCACUGGUAAUUACGCCAGUCACUAUGCCCCAUGAAUCACAUUCCUCUUCAAGUCCCCUGCCCAAGAACUGUCCUCACUUUCGUCUUCGCUACUUAAACUGUCAGACUCAAAAGCUCUCACAUCCACUAGAGCAAGUUUUGCACAGUACUCUUUCUACCAUAGGCGACUAUAAGAAAGAAAUACAUUAUGUUUGUCUAGGAUAGUUUUGCUAAAUUAAAACCUAAUCAUUCUGUAAAGCUUAAAAACUACAAGUACAUUUCCUUUUUUCCUCCCACUGAAUAGAGUAAAACUUGUCAAAUGCUCCUGAAGUUUUCAUAAAGCCCCAGCAGAACAGCAAGGCUCCUUUAGCUCCAGUUGCACUCACAGCCUUGGAGUGCAGGCCUCAUAAAUACCAGCAUCGCGGUCUGUGUGCUUUAGGUUACCCAAACAGCUGUUGUAAAAAUACGAAACAAAAACUUUGUUUAUUCUUAAAUACACAGAUACAGGCUCAGGUAAAAAAAAAAAACGGAUUUUCUAUUUUCAGUUGAAUUCUCCAGAUCUGUCAUCUUCAGGAACCUUUCUGUAAACUCUUUGAUAAGCUUCAGAGUAUACCAUUUCACUUCAUUUCCUACUUAAGUUAUUAAAUGUAUUUUACUUGAAUAUUAAUACUACAAUUUCUUAACCUCUUUAUACCACGAGUUGCCAUUUUUUUCCAACCUCUGAUUUUGUCUUAUUCUACCACAGUACAACUGAGGUCAUCACGUUUUGCAAAGGUGUUUUGUCACAGUUUUGCAAGAACCUCUCUGAGGCUCUUUUCUUGCUUGUGUUAAUCCACACACAGUUCUAUGACGGGCUAGAAACGUAUGUUCUCUAUUCCUCCUCACACAGGUCUAACAAGUUACUGCAUUUUGAUUUUUCACAAACCCCAGGAAAGCUGCACAGCCUGCUCAUUUGACUCAGAUUCCUUCAGUUCAUAUACACGUAUUUUCCCCUUCCAAAUAAUUCUGAAAGUCUACCUCACGUUUCUAGUUUACAACACUGACUUAAUUCCUAAGCUUUUAUAAGAGUUUUGAAGUCAGCCAUGCACAGGACAGCUUUUAAAAGGAAGACCAACAGCCAUACAAUGCUUAUUUACAAAAUAGGUAGCACGUGCACAGAAAGUGGAACCGCUGCUCUCCACAAUUAUUUGUUGAACCCUGCACAGGGAACUUUCUCACAGCAACACUAAGCAUCAAAGCCAUGAACAAAACCACUUAUCUGUAAUAAUAUCAGCCCACAUUUGUAACAAAACGUUCAAUGCUUCAGAAAAUAAAGAAUAGCUUGGUCACCCAUCAAAUGCUGAAUGAUACACUUAAAUACUCUUAAGGACUGUCACAAGAAAAAGGACAAUAUGCAGUACAUCUGCUGCUAAAUACACCUCCAAAACUCAGCUAAGCCCUCUCUUAUAAGCACAGCAGUAACAACAAGUUUGCGCAAGAAGAAAAAAACACAUAUUUGGCAACCAGAAACUGAGGACUAACGGCUGCAGAAAGUGGUUUUAAAAACUAGUGUCUAAGUUACGGGAGGUGGCAGGCUGACGGGUAAAUGUUGAUCAGGCUACCACUGCCAACAGCAAAAAUGUGCGACUCUUGAUUUCUUUCCUCAUUUUGCUAAACAUUAUGAAUUUCCAGGCUCUGCUGGUAUGCGAGAUACUGUGCAAAUAAAAGGGAGAUAACACUCUAUGCUGAACUCCUGGGGAACAAAACAAGUUUUGAGACAUGCCAGUACUCAUCUCUUCUCAGUUGAGCAACUUAGAACAACUACUUCCCAUUAAAUACAUCACUUUAAAUUACCUUUUUUUACGUUCUUCUCUCUUGAAACAGUGUUAGAAAACAGUGUUGUGACACAAACAUGCAGCACUUGCAAAUAGUAAGUGCAGAAAUGAACAGUAAUCACUCAUGUGGCAGGAGUUAUACAGUCACAGAAGUCACCACUGAAAGAUACUUUGUUUUAAUGUAACUCUGCUUUGAGUUUGACAAGCUAAAAUAAAGGUAAAUAAUACACAAAAACCCUUCUGGGUUUAGGCUUCACUCUGCUUGCACCUCACUAACCACUAUUAGGAGUGAUUUAAAUAACUGAACAAGUAACAGAAGGCACAAAACCAACACCCAAGCCUCUUACGAUGGCAGUUAGCUUCGAUACUUCUGCAACCAACACCUCGAGGUCUUCAUUUACUUUUUCUACCGACAGCACUCCCAUUCUAAGGGUCUCAAAGCAUAAAUGUGUUGUCAGAACACGUAGAUUGUUUUCCAGUGCUCAUUUUUGCCCCCUUCCCCCUCAGAAUUCCUGGAUACCAGUGAUCAAUAUUGUUCUCACUUCCUGCUCAUGACCAACCUUCCAGCUACACUGGAGGGGUGGAGAAGUGAGGGCAGGAAGAGGGACAAUUCACAAACAGAGUUUUCUCUUUCCAGUUUCUGUAUUUACAUACACAGAAAUGACUGAGGAAGAUGUUACACAAAACAUGAAGGAACGCAUUGUAUAGAUGCAGCAGGGACAAGCCAGAUACCAGCAGAUCUACAAAGGAGUAUUAUAAGACAGAAAACAAUUGGCAGCUCAUUUCAGCAAAUGCUCAACUACCCAGUAUGUUUACAGACAUGGGAAAUCCUCCUGCAUACUUCUUAAAGUAUAGUUGCUUUCCAUAUAAACUUAAAGUAAAGCUGUAGCACUUCACAUUAAAAAAAGAAAAGGGGGAAGAGAUGUGCAUAGCAAAAUAAACAUUUGAGAUGAAAUCACUUAACUGCAGUUACACUAAAUAGCUUUUCAACAUUAGAUCAGAAAAUACCUAAAAGAUAAUCAUAAAGAAGCUCGUAAAAACAUAAUUCAAUAAAGUUUCAGCAUCUUCCAGAAGUGAGUGCCUUUAGCAUUUCAGAUUUGGGCCAAAGAUCCUGACACAUGAUCAGCUUCUAUGUGCAAACCCGUACUUACAAUUUGUUGGUCACAUAAUUAACAACAGAUGACUUUCAGCACCAAAGGAAUUGGAUAAAUAUGUGAACCACAUUCAAAAUCAAACAUUAACUGCAGUGAUUACUCACAACAUCAACUUCUUUGUACUCGAACAUUAAAAACCAGGAGGUACAGAUAAGAACAGAGUAUCUUCAUCUUCCAACAGGAGACUAACCACAGGUCCUCAUGACUACUUCCCACCACGGUGAGCCAAGCUCAGACCACCACUGCUGCUCAGCUCUGUUAAGGACUCUGACAAGACAGGAUUCCAUAGGUUUGUCAGUAUACAGCAUUUCCAAUCAAUGACACCUACAACAGAUAGAGGUGACUGUUUCCUUCAUUGAAGCACACAAUAAAAAUUCCUCAAUUAAGACUUAACAUUCCUGCACCAAAACGUAACAGAUUUUUCCUCUAUUACAAAAACAGCAAACCUGAAUCUUUAUGACAUAUCAUUUUCUAAGCUAAUUAAUUUUCUUAUGCCAUAAGUGUAACAGUCAAACCAGUGAGCAGACAUUGUUUGUUUUUAAGAAAAGCUGUACUCUGCAGUUACUCAAAAUGCAUGUACCAUUGCGAAAGGACACUUCAUCUGAUCCCCAGAACAUUUCCAUGCAUUUUUAGUUCUCCCAACAAUUUUCAAGUCUUCUAAAAUCCUUACAACACAAGCAGCAUAUGCUUGCAUGGGACAGAGGGGAAGAACCAACAUUUAAACUUUUCCUUUUGGCUUUGAACUUUGAAUAAAUUUCCCCCCAUAUUUUGGACAGGAGCAGUUUAUAAUUUUAAGGAACACACUCUUAUUUUGUAAGAAAGCAAAAGGAAAAAAAAAUCUCUAGAUCCUCAGAAACUCAUUUUUUCCCCACGAUGAUAGUUUAGUUAAUACCUCUUGUUACAAUCAGAAAGGUCAGCACAGCGGACCAGCGACACAGGAGUGUAACAGCAAAGGGACUAGCGGAGUGGGAAUGGUGUUACAAAGAAAAAGGAAAGGUGCUCACCCAUCUCUGAAGCUCUAGGCUCACAGGAGACUCCACAAGGGAGGGAUCUCCAACCAGAGCUCCUACCCCAGUGGCAGUCAGUCCUUAAAUGAGGUCUAAGAGAGGUGCAGCCAGGCUCCACCCCUUCCUGUCUCACAGCUGAAUUGCCUUCACCUGCGUUCCCAGGGCUGACCGGUCCUUUCCCCAGCUGCUCAAUCAGUGGUUCAGGCCAGGACUCAAUGGUUACCAUACACUUACAGAUGCUCUACUUUUCCAAAGAUCUUCACCUGUGCUGUUAAACCACAUUCCAGACCAAGACAUCCUUGAAGAAACUUCAACCUUGGGGUCACCUUUGUUCACAUCUGUAAAGGAGAAUUUUAAACAGAGGUAAAACAGAAUUCACCUUAAGCCAGAAGUUUGAAAACUUUGCCAAGUUUACAUCCUAAAAUACUGCUGUAGUAAUUUUUAGCACACCGAAACCAAAACAACUCAUCCAUACCACAGAGAAAGCAGAAAUCCAAUGGCUCUAACAGCUAAACUAUAGAGAGACUCGUACUGUAGAAUCACAGAAUGGCCUGGGUUGAAAAGGACCGCAGUGAUCAUCAGUUCCAGUCCCCUGCUAUGUGCAGGGUCGCCAACCAGCAGACCAGGUUGCCCAGAGCCACAUCCAGCCUGGCCUUGAAUGCCUCCAGGGAUGGGGCAUCCACAACCUCCUUGGGCAACCUGUUCCAGUGCAUCACCACCCUAUGAGUGAAAAACUUCCUCCUAAUAUCUAACCUAAACCUCCUCUGUCUCAGUUAUGUCAUAGAACAGUCUAAGUUGGAAGGAAUCUUAAAGAUCAUUUAUUUCUGAUCUGUGGUGCCCCCCACCAGACCAGGCUGCCCAGGGCCCCAUCCAGCACAGCCUUGGGCACUGCAGGGAUGGGGUACCCACAGCUCUCUGCUCAGCCUGACCUCACCGCCCUCUGAGAGAAGAAUUCCUUCCCAACAACUAACUUAAGUCUCCCCUCUUUAAUUUUAAAGCCACUUCCCCUGAUCCUAUCACUAUCACACAGUUUAAGCAGUUGCACCCCUCCUGCUUAUAAGCUCCCUUCAAGUACUGGAGGGCUGCAAUAAGACCUACCUCCAUCACAAAAACAUUAACCUGCUGCAAAUAGAGACAGCUGUGGAAUUAAGGUUGGGUUUGUUUUUUUAACCUCACACUGCAUCCAGCUCUAUCUCUCACUCCCACAGAACUCACACUGAGCUGCCCGCUGCACCCACUGCAGCUCAUCCAGAUGAUGCGGCUAAGAUAUACACUCUAUAAAUGAAAAUAUUCCCGUAGACAGCCUAGCAGCAAUUCUCACUUUGUUAACAAACAUAAACGUCUCAAACCACUCUCACAGCCUUCACGCUGCCUCCUGUGCCUGCUGAGCGCACAGGGAACCCCACCAAAGGCCGCGUGCCGCUCACCUCAGCGUGCUGCCGGCCUCCAGCACCGCACGGACAGGCCGGACCCGGCGCAGACAGCGAGCCCUGCCAGGACAUUUUUGGCACCUCGUUUCAGCAGCCCGCCUGGCCAAAGAUACGACAGAACGCACCUCUUAUUGGCAACGCGGACCCGACGGCCACACGGAGCCGGGCUUCAUGUGACACCUCCGCUCACCGCAGCCGCCAGCACCUCCGCAGCACCUUUACGCAGAGGAAACCGCCCGGCCCGGGCCUCCCAAGCACCAGCACCGCCACCGCCUCCUCGGCCGGACAUCCUUCUCAGCACCCGCACGUAACCCGCACCGCACGGAGCCCCCAACGCUCCCCCCUCCCCCAGCGGCGUCUCCUCCUCCCCUCACAGGGCGCUCCCCCCCCCCGC
ensembl:lncRNA